AAAGAAACCAACAGGGAUUGCCUCAGUAACGGCGAGUGAAGCGGCAACAGCUCAAAUUUGAAAUCUGGCCUCGGCCCGAGUUGUAAUUUGUAGAGGAAGCUUUUGGUGCGGCACCGACCGAGUCCCCUGGAACGGGGCGCCAUAGAGGGUGAGAGCCCCGUAUGGUUGGACGCCUAUCCUGUGUAAAGCUCCUUCGACGAGUCGAGUAGUUUGGGAAUGCUGCUCAAAAUGGGAGGUAAAUUUCUUCUAAAGCUAAAUACUGGCCAGAGACCGAUAGCGCACAAGUAGAGUGAUCGAAAGAUGAAAAGCACUUUGAAAAGAGGGUUAAAUAGCACGUGAAAUUGUUGAAAGGGAAGCGCUCGUGACCAGACUUGCGCCGCGCCGAUCAUCCGGGGUUCUCCCCGGUGCACUCGGCGCGGCUCAGGCCAGCAUCGGUUUUCGCGGGGGGACAAAGGUCCCGGGAACGUAGCUCCUCCGGGAGUGUUAUAGCCCGGGGCGUAAUGCCCUCGCGGGGACCGAGGACCGCGCUUCGGCAAGGAUGCUGGCGUAAUGGUCACCGGCGACCCGUCUUGAAACACGGACCAAGGAGUCAAGGUUUUGCGCGAGUGUUUGGGUGUAAAACCCGCACGCGUAAUGAAAGUGAACGUAGGUGAGAGCUUCGGCGCAUCAUCGACCGAUCCUGAUGUAUUCGGAUGGAUUUGAGUAGGAGCGUUAAGCCUUGGACCCGAAAGAUGGUGAACUAUGCUUGGAUAGGGUGAAGCCAGAGGAAACUCUGGUGGAGGCUCGCAGCGGUUCUGACGUGCAAAUCGAUCGUCAAAUCUGAGCA
rnacentral:rRNA from 1 species